rnacentral:rRNA from 1 species
CAGUCGCCGCGGGAAUACGAAGGGGGCUAGCGUUGUUCGGAAUUACUGGGCGUAAAGCGCACGUAGGCGGAUACUUAAGUCAGGGGUGAAAUCCCGGGGCUCAGCCCCGGAACUGCCUUUGAUACUGGGUAUCUCGAGUCCGGAAGAGGUGAGUGGAAUUCCGAGUGUAGAGGUGAAAUUCGUAGAUAUUCGGAGGAACACCAGUGGCGAAGGCGGCUCACUGGUCCGGUACUGACGCUGAGGUGCGAAAGCGUGGGGAGCAAACAGGAUUAGAUACCCCGGUAGUCCCUGUCUCUUAUAC